rnacentral:tRNA from 1 species
GAAAUAGCUCAGCGGUUAAGAGCACUGAGUACUCUUUCAGAAGACCUGGGUUCAAUUCCCAGUGCCUUCA